AGAGUUGAUCAUGGCUCAGGAUGAACGCUAGCGGGAGGCCUAACACAUGCAAGCCGAGCGGUAGAGAUUCUUCGGAAUCUUGAGAGCGGCGUACGGGUGCGGAACACGUGUGCAACCUACCUUUAUCUGGAGGAUAGCCUUUCGAAAGGAAGAUUAAUACUCCAUAAUAUAUUGAUUGGCAUCAAUUGAUAUUGAAAGCUCCGGCGGAUAGAGAUGGGCACGCGCAAGAUUAGUUAGUUGGUGAGGUAACGGCUCACCAAGACGAUGAUCUUUAGGGGCCUGAGAGGGUGAUCCCCCACACUGGUACUGAGACACGGACCAGACUCCUACGGGAGGCAGCAGUGAGGAAUAUUGGUCAAUGGGUGCAAGCCUGAACCAGCCAUCCCGCGUGAAGGACGACUGCCCUAUGGGUUGUAAACUUCUUUUGUAUAGGGAUAAACCUACCCUCGUGAGGGUAGCUGAAGGUACUAUACGAAUAAGCACCGGCUAACUCCGUG
rnacentral:rRNA from 1 species